AUAUGCGCGGAUCUGCGUCCACAUAUUGUGCGGCGUGCGUGUGCGCCGUCUUUGCUCUUGCUCGUGUGUGCUGCACGCCUUUCUUCUCGUACGGUUGCAAACUCGCGGAUAAUUAUCCUGCGGAACUCUUGAUUACUACAGGAUAUCUCCUUGAUACGGGAUUGCAUCAUCAGAACUAAAUUUGAGCCUCCUGAGAUCACAUCAUAUGGUAUUUUUCAUUCAGAAAAAUACCCUUAAUAGGCCUAGGCUUGAAGGAAGAGGUUUAUUAACGGGCUUUAAAAACCUCACCCACUUGCGCAUCUCAAAGGAUGAAGCUUUCAACAUCAGCUUCAGG
rnacentral:lncRNA from 1 species